GUCCACGCUGUAAACGAUGAGAACUAGAUGUUGGGAGGGUUUUGCAUCUCAGUGUCGCAGCUAACGCGCUAAGUUAUCCGCCUGGGGAGUACGGCCGCAAGGUUGAAACUCAAAGGAAUUGACGGGGACCCCGCACAAGCGGUGGAGCAUGUGGUUUAAUUAGAUGCAACGCGAAGAACCUUACCUGGUCUUGACAUCCCAGGAACCUCGCAGAGAUGUGGGGGUGCCUUCGGGAACCUGGAGACAGGUGCUGCAUGGCUGUCGU
rnacentral:rRNA from 1 species